rnacentral:lncRNA from 13 species
UAUCUUGUUCACGCCUCAUUUAUUUAAGUCUUUUCUUAUUUUAGCUCCCACAAUUAGAAGACAAAUGUUUGCCUUUGUGUUUUUUUUCCCCUCUCUCCAUCAAAGGUGACUUAUGCAGAUGUAAUGACAGCUCGAGGAGAUACCAUAGCUCCUUCUCAGAGACCAGCAAGGGUGUCUUUACAAAACAAAACCAUUCAAGGCCUCUCCCCUCUAGCAACAUGGGCCCCCAAAGCACAUGCAGAUGGGUACAAGACCAUUCACCACCUCUGUACAACCCCAGUCAGCCAGGCCCUGCCUCUGGAGCUGCAGCUGGCUUCCCGGGUCUGUCACACCUCCAGCCAACUCAGUGCACCACCACAGUUUCACCAACAGAGGGCAGCACUACAACACAUCGCUGCCCAGCCUGACAGACACAGGAUAUUAAAUGAAGGUGUGCCCCGCGUGGAGGUGACUGAGUCUGAUGGAAAGGACUGUGUGAGUCACCUGCCUCCCCAGACUUCAGACAGCCUGGCUGACUGGCAGAGGAUCGCUGAGUUUUACAUAGAGAAGCCCAGGAUGAUGCUUCAUGGACAGGCGACCUCUCUGUGUUCCAACGAGCUGAAGAUGUUCUGGCACCCAGCGCCUCCUAAGUUCAGCUGCUCUCCUGCAUUCGUCAAACACAAACUCUUUCCCAAGUACCAGGCAACGCGGAAAGAUCUCUCCAGAGAGGAGCUCUAUGGUGAUCUACAGGACCUGGUGGAAUCAGCCUGUGACCUGACAGAGAUGGAGCCAACCACCUCAGUGGUCAGUGUGUGCUUUAGUUACCC